UGGGAGGACCAUCUCCUAAGGCUAAAUACUCUCUAGUGACCGAUAGUGAACCAGUACCGUGAGGGAAAGGUGAAAAGCACCCCGGAAGGGGAGUGAAAUAGAACCUGAAACCGUGUGCUUACAAGUAGUCAGAGCCCGUUAAUGGGUGAUGGCGUGCCUUUUGUAGAAUGAACCGGCGAGUUACGAUUUGAUGCAAGGUUAAGCAGUAAAUGUGGAGCCGUAGCGAAAGCGAGUCUGAAUAGGGCGUUUAGUAUUUGGUCGUAGACCCGAAACCAGGUGAUCUACCCUUGGUCAGGUUGAAGUUCAGGUAACACUGAAUGGAGGACCGAACCGACUUACGUUGAAAAGUGAGCGGAUGAACUGAGGGUAGCGGAGAAAUUCCAAUCGAACCUGGAGAUAGCUGGUUCUCUCCGAAAUAGCUUUAGGGCUAGCCUCAAGUGAUGAUUAUUGGAGGUAGAGCACUGUUUGGACGAGGGGCCCCUCUCGGGUUACCGAAUUCAGACAAACUCCGAAUGCCAAUUAAUUUAACUUGGGAGUCAGAACAUGGGUGAUAAGGUCCGUGUUCGAAAGGGAAACAGCCCAGACCACCAGCUAAGGUCCCAAAAUAUAUGUUAAGUGGAAAAGGAUGUGGCGUUGCCCAGACAACUAGGAUGUUGGCUUAGAAGCAGCCAUCAUUUAAAGAGUGCGUAAUAGCUCACUAGUCGAGUGACACUGCGCCGAAAAUGUACCGGGGCUAAACAUAUUACCGAAGCUGUGGAUUGUCCUUUGGACAAUGGUAGGAGAGCGUUCUAAGGGCGUUGAAGCAUGAUCGUAAGGACAUGUGGAGCGCUUAGAAGUGAGAAUGCCGGUGUGAGUAGCGAAAGACGGGUGAGAAUCCCGUCCACCGAUUGACUAAGGUUUCCAGAGGAAGGCUCGUCCGCUCUGGGUUAGUCGGGUCCUAAGCUGAGGCCGACAGGCGUAGGCGAUGGAUAACAGGUUGAUAUUCCUGUACCACCUAUAAUCGUUUUAAUCGAUGGGGGGACGCAGUAGGAUAGGCGAAGCGUGCGAUUGGAUUGCACGUCUAAGCAGUAAGGCUGAGUAUUAGGCAAAUCCGGUACUCGUUAAGGCUGAGC
rnacentral:rRNA from 1 species